rnacentral:tmRNA from 1 species
GGGGCUGACUUGGUUUUGACAUUUAAAGAUUAAGUAAGGUAUGAUGCAGGUCGAAGCCGCUAUUCUUCGUAAAAAACAUACAAUAUUAGAAUAAAUGCUAACAAUAUAAUUCCUUUUAACUUCAAACAGAUUAAUAAGAAUUCAAAUUCUUUCGCUUUUGCAGUUUAGUCUAUAAUAUAUCUUGUUAAAUUUAUUUGUUCACUAUAACUAGACUUUUCGUUUUUUUAUAGUUUAGAAUAAUACUAUAUUUUGUUCUAUUAAAUGAACUAUACCUGUGAACGAGUACUUUAAUAAAAUUUAAAUGGACGUGGGUUCGAUUCCCAUCAGCUCCA